AACCACAAAAAACAUCAUCAUAAUCUGCGUUGCUGUUCUCUGUGCAAUCUGUGCUGUAGUGGGAGGAGUUUUCUGUUUGAGGAAAAAGAAACCGUACAUAAAAGGCAGCUCGAUCUACAAAUGAAGAACAGCAAGAUGACGUACAGUACUCAGAGAUAUUGCACAGUGACUUGAGACACAGACAGGGAAGAGAACAGGACAUACGAGAACUGCCCGCGAAGAACGAAGAGUCAACAUUGACAUCUGUCUACGCCAAAAUUCAACCACAUGGCUCUGGUGCAGAUGGCGAAGUGGCAGCGAGUGGAGUCUUACAUCACCUCUGAAGCUACAUUUCAUUAUGCGCUUAUCAUCAGUAGAUGUUGAAUCCUACUUAAACAGUGCAAGUCUACAAGCCUA